GCCCGCUCCUCCUCCGCUCCGCCAGUGUCCGGCCGCGGGCCGGCCUUAGUGACCGGGGGCGCGGGGCCGGGGCCGCGGGCGCGGGGCGGGCGCGGGCGCGGGCUGCCUUGGUCGGGCCCCCAGCUCGCCCGGAGCCUCCUCGCCCGCUCCCGCCGGCGAGCAAGAUGAUGUGCGAGGUGAUGCCGACCAUCAGUGAAGCAGAAGGCCCCCCGGGAGGAAGUGGGAGCCAUGAGUCCGGCUCCCCUUCGCAGCCAGACGCGGAUUCACAUUUUGAACAGUUGAUGGUGUCCAUGCUCGAAGAGAGGGACCGUCUUCUUGACACACUGAGAGAGACUCAGGAGACGCUGGCGUUAACCCAGGGGAAGUUACACGAGGUUGGCCAUGAAAGAGAUUCCUUGCAGAGGCAGCUGAACACUGCCCUCCCGCAGGUACGGAGGCCUUUCUCCUGGAACCCUGCAGAUUGGUUUCCACUGAACGUUAUUUGAUGUGUCGUCUUCUGUGGUGUUACUAUCUCAGAUGAGUGUUCUGCGUGACCACGUGGGAAGUGUGCUUCUGGUAUUCGUAAGCCACGUAUAGAGAAGGUUCUCCAGGGUUCAACAUCUUAGGGAGAACAGACUGUGCUGCUCUGAAGUCAGGUGAAAAUACCUCACAAGGCCCUUUCCUUUCUUUGGGCAGCAGAAGGAACUGCCUAGAUUCAGGAGAGGGCCCCGGAGUUUUUGAAAAAGGGCCAUGGAGCACCCAGGCUGUGUGGUGCCUUCUGACCUGUCGUCUUAAGCCAUUUCUUGCUGAAUGUGUAUUUCCCGUGGGUUUCAUCAUAUAUUUCCAAUUUCCUAAUGAAAUUUAGUGGACAAAUAGGAUGAAUUUCACAGAGAAGAUAGUUUUACACACCACCUUUAUUAGAACACCUGUGUUUUGUAAAUCAAAUCUGUUUUAGGGGGUGGAAGACUGGAGGUUGACCCCUUUGGAACUUUGUCCUUGGCAGAUGAGAGUUACAAAGCUUAGAGUCACACUGAACUUGUUAGUCCGGGUGUGUUGGCGUUGGGACCAGGGUGUAGAGCCUUUCCUUCGGGAGCUGAGUGAGGGUGUCGUGGCAGGUGAAGGAGGAAAGUGGCACCUAGGAAAGUGGAGGGUACGUGGGUUCCGGGGGCCUCUGGGCUGUCGUGGUGCCGUUUUACUUGCUCGUAACAGGUGCCUCUGUGGUGCUUUCAGGUGGACCGAGUGGGUGCACACUUACACUCUCGUGAUGGGUCUGCAGCACUGAGUUAGGAGAUGAGUAAUGACAAGCUUAAUGCGCUUCUUGGCUUAGUCAGUCCUUCUGAAAGAUUGAUUAGCCAAACAUUUGGAUUUCCUUUUUAACAACUAAUUCAUGCUAUGCAGGGCUAUAAUGCUCCUUCUCUGUUGGGUUAGAGAAUCAUUAAGUUUUUUGUCAUCUGAAUCUUAUAAAUUACCAAGUUCGUUUAGGUCAAAUUUUAUUACCACAAGCUUAGAAGGAUUGGCCAAAUUAUGUUUUACUGGGAUUUUCAUAUAUUUAUCUUUUCAGUAGUUUUGUUUGUUUGGUUUUGUAACUGUGUUUGUUUUCAUGUAAUUUGGGGUACUUACACUGAAGUGUGUGUCAAAUACCGCACAUUUGAUAAGGUGGUUUUUGAGAGAAUGGGCUCAGGGGCCCUCGCAGGGAAGGGACAGGAGUGUGUGCAGUCCAGUCUGGAGCGGCGGAGGCCAUCGCACCGGCGGAGGAGCCGGUCGCUCAGUGGUUUGUUUCCAGCCACUGCUCAGUGUUGUAGCCUGGAAAUGCCUCGCCGGGUGGAGAAGGCGGUGACGUCAGCGGUCCCUGAGCCCAGCGUUUCAGAAACGCAGGAACCACUGAGUGAACACUUUCAGGACCCUUCCGAUUCCUGGCGUUUGUCUCAUGUUUCGUGGCUAAUAGUGUGACCAGAGAGGCGUGUGCUUAACUAAAUGCAUUUGUCUUCCUGGCACUUUAUGUAGGCACGUAAUGCUGUACUUAUAAAAGAUUUAGCUGUAGCAUACAUCAGAGAAUUUCCCCAAGCAUAAGUGUGCACCUCAGUGACUUUUUCACUAAGUGAACACACUCUCGUAACUACCGCCUACAUUAAGGAGUGAAACAUGGCCAAGCUUCCCAGAAGCCCCCUCGUCCCCACUCCCAGGAACUGUCCCCCAAAGCCGGCAGUGGUCUUGGCUUUCCACCAUUGAUGACUUUCCCGUGUGCUUGGCUGUCUAAGUGAAAUAAAGUUAUACGUACAUUUGGUUUCUUGGUUCUUUCAUUCAGUAGUACCUUUGUGGGAUCCACUCGCGUUGUCUCGUAGCUUUGUUCUUUCUUGUCUGCUGCCCAGGAACCCAGUCUCUGAAUUUACCGUCAUUUAUUCUUUCUGCCAUUCUUGGGUAUUCUGGAUGUUCCUAGUUCAGACGAACGCCGCCCUGCGUAUUCGUGCUUGUUUCUUUGGUGCAGGUGUGUAUGCGUUUCUGUUGGUGUUCACAGGAGUGGCACUGCAGAGGGCCAGGGUCUGCGUCUGUCCAGCCUGAGUAGACACUGCCCAAAGUGGCGGUGCUGCCGCCAGCCGUGUGUGAGCCGUCCGCCGUUCCCCAGCGCUUGGUGUCGUCAGCUCGUUCGUUGCGGCUGUCCGGUGGGCACCGAGUGGAGGAGGCUCAGUGUGCUGUGGGCUGGCCGCUGCCCGGUGGCCGGGGACGCGCAGAAGCAGACUCUUUGUGUGUGUCUGUUGGCGGUUUCGAGAUCCUCUCUUGUGAGUGCUUGUCCUUUGCCCGUUUUUCGAUUGGGUUUUCUGUGUUGUUUCUUACUGAGUUGAAGGAGUUCUUUUCAUAUGUUCUGAGUACAAGUUAUAUAUUCUGAGUACAUGUGUGUGUGGCAGGUUUUUUUACAUUCUUGUGUAUGUUUGCCCUUUCGCUCUCAGUGGUGUCUUGAUAAGCAGAAGUUUUAAUUGUAAUCUAGCCCGAUGGAUCAGUCUUUUCAGUAAUAUUGAAUGCUCUUUGUGUUCAUUGGAAGAUAGUAUCACAAAGAUCAUGAAGAUAUUAUCCUGUAAAAGCUUUAUGAUUUUAUCUUUCACAUUUAGACCUGUAAUCCAUCUGAAAGUGAUUUUUGUUUGUGGUGUGAGAUAACGGCCAAGGUUCCUUUUUUUCCUUAAGUGUAUGCUAUACAGUUGACCGAGAAUAAUUUAUUAAACAGACCCUCCUCUCCCCAGUGCACUACAGUGUCGUCUGUGUCAUCAGGCAAGUGACCGUAAAUAUACGGGCCUGGAUCUAGACUCCGCUCUGCCCCGUUGGUCUUUGCACAAGCAGCACGCUGUGUAAAUUGCUGUAGAUUUAGCCUGUCCUGGCAUCUGGUAAUUUGAGUCCCCCAGCCUCGUUCUUGUGCAAGGCUAGCUGGGCUAAUCUUCACCCUUUACAUCCUCGGUUAAAAUGUAGAGUCUGCGUGGCCGCCUCUCCCCGGAAAACGUGCUCUGAUUUUCACUGAGAUUGCGUUUCAUCUGUAGACUAGCGUGGGGAGAAAUGACAGCUUCUUAAUAUUGGUCUUACAGGGGCCCACCCGGUGUGCGGCGGUUAAGUUUGCGCUCUGCUUUGGCGGCCCAGGGUUUGCAGGUUUGGAUCCCGGCUGUGGACCUGCGCACCACUUAUCAAGCCGUGCUGUGGCAGGCGUCCCACGUAUAAAGUGGAGGAAGAUGGGCAUGGACGUUAGCUCAGGGCCAGUCUUCCUCAGCCAAAAGAGGAGGAUUGGCAGCAGAUGUUAGCUCAGGGCUAGUCUUCCUCGGAGGGAAAAAACAUGGGUUUUAAAAUCCAUGAACACAAUAUAGCCUUCUAUUUAUUUAGCUCUUCUUUAAUUUGUCUUAAUACUAUACAGUUUUCUGUAUAUGUAUCGUCUACAUGUUUAAUUACAUUUAUUCAUAGAUAUUUCACAUUUCUUAUUUUAUUAUAAAUUAUAUUAUGUAAUUGUUUAUUACUGUUAUAUAGUGAUAGAAUUGAUUUUUGCGUAUUCACUUGCUAAAUCCAUUUAUUUCUAAUAGUAAUUCUUCUUGUAUUUUCUAGGUGUUCACAAGUAUGUCUGCAAGAGACAGUUUCUUUUCUUUUUUGUUUCCAAGUGCUGUACUCGUUUUUCUUUUUCUUGCCUCGCUGGCCUGGCUGGGACCUCCAGCACAGUGCUGAGUAGAAGUGGUGAGGGUAGGGAUCCUCGUCUCCCUCCCAGUGUCAGAGGGAAGGCUUUCGGUAUCUCACUGUUAUAUCUGAUGUUGGCUGUAGCUUUUCCAUAAAUAUUUUUAUCGAAAUAUCCAAAUUCUCCUCUAUUAGUUUGCUAAGUGUUUUUUUAAAUCAUGAAUUAAAUUAUUAAAUUUUCUUAAGUGCAUUUUCUGCAUCUUUUGAGACAGUCCAGUUUUUUUCCUUUUAUGUGGUGAUUUACCUUUUAGUUUGCAAUUCUAGAAGAAUCCCAACCUGACCUUGAUGUAUUCUACUUUCCCCGGAUUUUGUUUGUUAAUAUUUUAAGAUUGUUGCGUCUGUGUUUGUGAGAGCUUGGUCUGUAACUUUGCUGUCUUGUGUUGUCCUUGUUAGGUUUGGCUCGUGCUCGUCUCCUAACACAAAGUGGAAAGCGUUCCUUGUUGAUUCCCAGAAGAGCCCCUGUGAGACUGGUGUUUUCUUUCUUGCAGUUUUGGAAGAAUUGACCAGCAAAACCAGCUGGUGUAAGGUUUUCUUUGUGAGAAGGCUUUUAGUUUCAGAUUCAGUUAUUUACGUGGAAAUAGGAUUUUUCUGAUUUUAUAUUUCUUCUUGUGUCUGUUUGGGUAAGAUGCUCUUUUUUCCUAGGAAUUUGUUCAGGCCACCCAAACUUUCCAAUUAUUAAGUGUAAUAUGGUUCAUAAUAUCCUUAUUUUGUGCAAGAUCUCUUGUAAUAUCCCCUUUUAAAAAUUUUUGAUAUUGGUAAUUUGUCCUUUUCUCUUUUUCUUCAUCGGUCUUGCUAGAGUCUUAUGAAUUGUAGUAGCCCUUUCAAAGGACAGCUUUUGGCUUUAUUGAUUUUUUUCUGUUUAGUAUUUGUUCUCUAUUUUGUUAAUUUAUGCUUUUUUCCUUCCAUUUACUUUGUGUUCUGUUUGCUGUUCUUUUUUCUAGUUUCUUGAGAUAGAUGCUUAACUGAUUUUGGCUCUUUCGUCUUUUCCAGUCUCUGUAUGUGAGGCUCCAGCUGGCCCUGUAAGUGCACCUUUAGCUGCAUCCCGCAAGUUCUGAAAGCCAGAUUUUCGUUCUCACUUGUGUGAAAACAUGUUCUGAUGUUCAUCGUGGUAUCUUUUUUUACUCAUAAAGUUUUUAAAGAAUUAUGUCACUUGACUUCCCAAUGUUUGUGGGGAUUCUCUGGUUAGCUUUUUGUUGGUUUCUACCUUCCUUGCAUGAAGAUCCCUGUCUUGGUCUUUUGGGGCUGCUAUAAUCAGAUGCAUAGACUAACUGGUUUCUGAACAACAGAAGUUUAUUUCGCAUCGUUCUGGAGGCUGUGAAGUCCCGGAUCAAGGCACCGGCAGAUUCCGUGGCUGGUGAGGGGCCGCUUCCUGGUUCGUAGACGGCCAGCCUCUCACUGUCCUCACAUGGCGGAGGGGGCGAGGGAGCUCUCUCAACUCCAGACUAAUCACCUCGCAGAGUCCCCGCCUCCUGAUACCAUCACCUUGGGGCUGACGAAUUUUAGGGGGACGUAAACUGUCAGUCUGUUGUAAUCUCUACGUACACCCUGCAUUAUUUCAACGUUUUGAAAUGAGUCGAGCUUUCCUAAUGGCCCAGCAUACAUUCAUUUUUGUUAAACGUUCCUUGGGCCCUUGAAAAUGUUAUUUAUCGGUGAGAAUGCAGUGUUGUAUGUAUACCAGUUAGAUCAAGUUUGUUAAUCAUAUAAUUUAGAUUCUAGUAGCCACAUUACAUAAAGUAAAAAGAAAUAGGUGAAAUUAAUUUUGAUAAUGUAUUUUAUUUAACCUAAAUAUCCAAAAUAUUAUAAUUUCAAUGUGUAAUCAACAUGAAAAGACUACUGAAA